AUUGUUACCUGCGAAGCCUAAACACUCCUGGUCAGAGACAAAUGCAAUUAUUGAAUGGGUACCCCUGACGAAAGGCAGUUUAGAGCCUCCCAAAGGACAGAAGAGAGAAAACCUGAAGCUUGGAGCUCUGGACAGACAUUGUCCUACUAGCGGCUCCUUUCCAAGAGGACAGAUUCUGAAUGAAGCAACAACCACCAAGAGAAAAACAGAGUGAAACAUUAUGGUAACCACACGAAGCUCAGAAGGAACUAGUGCAUCCUGGGCCCCCACUUCCUUAUUUCUACUGAGACUUGGCUAUCUUCUUCAAGUGUACCCCCAGCCUGGGGUACAGCACCAGGAAAGAAAGCCUAGCCAGAGAAGCUGUCACAGUCUCAUUGUUACUACUCCGAAAAACAAUAUGGUGGGAGCCAGCUGGCUUUUAAGCAAUUAAGCUCACUUAGGAAAACAAAAGUUAUAUCUUACUUUACUUUCUAUUAUGACGGUUCUAGCUGGGGUUUUCUGGCUUUCUGUUUGGUACUGGGUUUGGCCAUUUAGGAGGUUGAUGAUCAAGAGGAUUCUAGAAUUAUGGUGGGGGAAAUGAAAAAUCUAAUCUACCAUACUGGAUUAUAAAUUCAAAUGUACAGAGA